AUAUGAUGAUUUUCAAGAUGACGAGUCUGAAUCGGGUUUCCCGUAGAUGACAACCAUUUUUUUAUACCAUUCAUGCCUUUCUGAAU
rnacentral:snoRNA from 1 species